rnacentral:lncRNA from 1 species
AAGAAAAUAGAAGAGCAUUUUAGCAAGUGCUUGAGAGGGGAAUAAUUAGAUCGAUGUUGAACAUGGCAUUCAAACAUGACUUGUCGAGUGUAUUAUUUCAGAAUAGUGUCAAUAGCAUGCAUGGCAUUCGCGCAUUACUGAAUAAUCGAGCAUAUGUCAGAAUACACUUUCAGAGAAAAUUUCGGCCAAAGAGUACUGUAAUACACCUUUCCGAAAGGUACGUCAUUCUGGCUAUAGAGCCUCGUUUUGGUGUAUGUGACAUUGGCUAAAACCACGCGUUUCAAUCACGAAAACGAGGCUCUACAGCCAAAGUAACAUUCUUUUCAGAAGAGUCUGUUUCAUUAGUCACAUAAUCCCAUAAGUCAAGUACCCAUGGCAUCCUGAAUAUAGAACUAUCAACAUUAAUGAAUAACAUGGCCUUCACGCAUGAUGUCAUGCUCCAAAGGAUGAACAUUACAAGGACUGGAUACCCAGUAAAAUCCGAAUUGUCAGAUUCGAUAGAACAC